GUAGCCUCUCUCAGCAGGCCAGAGCCUGACUGUGAGACCAGCAGCAGAAAGUAUAACCCUGGGAAUGUGUGCCAUCUUGCAUGAUAAAUAUCAGUGAUUUGCUCCAGGCUUCAGACUGUGACUCACAGGAAGUAACUGUUUGAGUUGGUUUGCACAGAUGGAGACCAUUCUUAGUCAACAUUCACAUAAAAAUCAGCCUGGGCCCUUUUCGUUUAGUUUUCUCUUUUUCCUCAUCUCCUUUUCAUUGUGUGCAGAGAGCUGAGGAGCUUUACUGUUUGACUUGGUGGGAGACAACACCUUUAUUUGCUUGCAGGAUCUUUGUGAGGUUUUCCUUCAAAUUUCACAAGGAUCUGCAACUUUUCACGGACACGACCAAUUUCCUCUUUUCUGAUCCCAGCCCACUGGUAUCAUCACUUUCCUCAUUUCCAGCUUGAAGGCGAUCCUGACACCCGGGACGUCAUGUGAAACCAUGAAGGACAGGAGGCAAUAAGCCGGAGAAUAGCAGCAAUCUUCAGGAAAGUUCUCCAUUCACUCUCACUCCCGCACUUCUGUGUCCUCUUAUCCAGCCUUGAAGAUAAAGAAAAAAAAUCAAUACAGAAACACAGUGUUAGAUAAAAGCAGAAAGGGGGGAAAGAGCCGAGCCAAGUUAGGUGUAGUGAAUUAAAGCGAUCAGAAAUUUCCCCGACACUCAGCCCUCAGUCUACAUAACCUAACAGCCCUGCCUUGGUGCUGUCUGUCACUCUGCGCUCUCCGUUCAAUCCCUCUUUGUUCGCUUUUGAUUUCUUUUUGGUCUAUUCUCCGUUUGCUUUGUGUUUUGGGAUGAAGAACCAGAUCCCAUUCAACCACAAUAACUGCUGAGUGAAGGUUUUGGCUAUUGCAGGGGAGACUGUCUGGGUCUGAGUCUCCAUCUCAGCUUUGACGAUUGCUGGAUUCUCUUAAGGGACGUGACCGUGUGGAGUCAUCGGGCCUCUUGUUUUAAAGCAGAACUAGCAGUUAGAGAUGGUGGUGUUGGCUAGUCAUUCCAUAAGACUAUUUCUCAGCAUUUACUGGAUGGAUUGAAAAAAGCUUUUGCACAGACGUUCAUGGAGGACCCCAGAGGAACAUGAAUGUCUGACUUUAUUCAGUUUUACUGAAAAACUGAAAAAUCUCAAGAACUAUUGAGGCGAUUGCCAUAAAAUUCUGAACUGAGCGUCAUAAUCUAAAGUAAAUACGCAUGCUAGCUUCUCACUUGUCACCAUUAGGUUUAAUCAGUAUUUGUGAUUGGCAAAUGUUUAAUUAGGUGAAUAUAAACGCCAGAACAUGCUAACUGCUAAUGACUCCACUGUGACUUCACUUUAAAAUACACAAAAGUAUUUAAA
ensembl:lncRNA